rnacentral:rRNA from 1 species
CCUACGGGUGGCAGCAGUGAGGAAUAUUGGUCAAUGGGCGAGAUCCUGAACCAGCCAAGCCGCGUGAAGGAUGACGGCCCUAUGGGUUUUAAACCUCUUUUGUCGGAGAACAAAACCCGGGACGAGUGCCGGUCUGCGUGUAUCCUAUGAAAAAGCAUCGGCUAACUCCGUGCCAGCAGCCGCGGUAAUACGGAGGAUGCGAGCGUUAUCCGGAUUUAUUGGGUUUAAAGGGUGCGUAGGCGGUCCCGUAAGUCAGCGGUAAAAUCGUGGGGCUCAACCCCGUCGAGCCGUUGAAACUGGCAGACUUGAGUUGGCGAGAAGUACACGGAAUGCGGGGUGUAGCGGUGAAAUGCAUAGAUAUCGCGAAGAACUCCGAUCGCGAAGGCAGUGUACCGGAGCAAGACUGACGCUGAGGCACGAAAGCGCGGGGAUCGAACAGGAUUAGAUACCCGAGUAGUC